AGAGACUUUUCAAAUUGAGUGUCCCAUCAAAAGAACAUUUUCCUGACAAUGGACCAUGGGAGAUGCCCACCUACACUUAAUGGAAUUUUCCUGCAAACA